rnacentral:rRNA from 1 species
AUUGAACGCUGGCGGCAUGCCUUACACAUGCAAGUCGAACGGUAACAGGUUAAGCUGACGAGUGGCGAACGGGUGAGUAAUGUAUCGGAACGUGCCCAGUCGUGGGGGAUAACUGCCCGAAAGAGCAGCUAAUACCGCAUACGCCCUGAGGGUGAAAGCGGGGGAUCGCAAGACCUCGCGCGUUCGGAGCGGCCGAUAUCAGAUUAGGUAGUUGGUGAGGUAAAGGCUCACCAAGCCGACGAUCUGUAGCUGGUCUGAGAGGACGACCAGCCACACUGGGACUGAGACACGGCCCAGACUCCUACGGGAGGCAGCAGUGGGGAAUUUUGGACAAUGGGCGCAAGCCUGAUCCAGCCAUGCCGCGUGCGGGAAGAAGGCCUUCGGGUUGUAAACCGCUUUUGUCAGGGAAGAAAAGGUUCUGGCUAAUACCUGGGACUCAUGACGGUACCUGAAGAAUAAGCACCGGCUAACUACGUG